CUUGGUCAAGCGGUUAAGACACCGCCCUUUCACGGCGGUAACACGGGUUCGAGUCCCGUAGCGCA
rnacentral:tRNA from 1 species